rnacentral:rRNA from 1 species
GACGAACGCUGGCGGCGUGCUUAACACAUGCAAGUCGAACGGUGAAGCGCCUUCCUUUUUGGUGGGUGUGGAUGAGUGGCGAACGGGUGAGUAACACGUGAGUAACCUUCCCCCUUCUUCUGGAUAACCGCAUGAAAGUGUGGCUAAUACGGGAUAUUCUGGGUCUGUCGCAUGAUGGGUCUGGGAAAGAUAUUGUUUCGGUGGGGGAUGGGCUCGCGGCCUAUCAGCUUGUUGGUGGGGUGAUGGCCUACCAAGGCGGUGACGGGUAGCCGGCCUGAGAGGGUGGACGGUCACACUGGGACUGAGACACGGCCCAGACUCCUACGGGAGGCAGCAGGGGGGAAUAUUGCACAAUGGGCGCAAGCAUGAUGCAGCGACGCCGCGGGAGGGAUGGAGGCCUGCGGGUUGUGAACCUCUUUCGCCAGUGAAGCAGGCCUGCCUCGUUUGUGGGUGGGUUGACGGUAGCUGGAUAAGAAGCGCCGGCUAACUACGUG